rnacentral:rRNA from 1 species
AUCAACCUUGUUUUUGCUUGGUGCACUUUCUGGUUUGACAGGUCAGCAUCAAUUUUGACCAUUGGAAAAAGGCUAAGGGAAUGUGGCAUCUUUGGAUGUGUUAUAGCCCUUGGUCGCAUACAAUGGUUGGGAUUGAGGAACUCAGCACGCCGAAAGGCCGGGUUUUAAACCACGUUCGUGCUUAGGAUGCUGGCAAUAUGGCUUUAAUCGACCCGUCUUGAAACACGGACCAAGGAGUCUAACAUGCCUGCGAGUGUUUGGGUGGAAAACCCGAGCGCGUAAUGAAAGUGAAAAGUUGAGAUCCCUGUCGUGGGGAGCAUCGACGCCCGGACCAGACCUUUUGUGACGGUUCCGCGGUAGAGCAUGUAUGUUGGGACCCGAAAGAUGGUGAACUAUGCCUGAAUAGGGUGAAUCCAGAGGAAACUCCGGUGGAGGCUCGUAGCGAUUCUGACGUGCAAAUCGAUCGUCAAAUUUGGGUAUAGGGGCGAAAGACUAAUCGAACCAUCUAGUAGCUGGUUCCUGCCGAAGUUUCCCUCAGGAUAGCAGAAACUCAUAUCAGAUUUAUGUGGUAAAGCGAAUGAUUAGAGGCCUUGGGGUUGAAACAACCUUAACCUAUUCUCAAACUUUAAAUAUGUAAGAACAAGCCGUCUCUUGAUUGGACCGCUUGGCGAUUGAGAGUUUCUAGUGGGCCAUUUUUGGUAAGCAGAACUGGCGAUGCGGGAUGAACCGAACGCGAGGUUAAGGUGCCGGAAUUCACGCUCAUCAGACACCACAAAAGGUGUUAGUUCAUCUAG